GCACUAGUAGUCUAGCCUGGUAGGACCUGAGCUUCCCAAGCUCAUGACCCGGGUUCAAAUCCCGGCUGGUGCA
rnacentral:tRNA from 1 species